AAUAAAAUUCAACGCUUUCCAAACUGCGUGUUACGAUUUUCGAUUAUCAACAAAUUAGGCAAUCAAUGACUGCGCGAAGAAUUUCGCCUUCAUAAAUUAAUUCAUGUAUCCACGAAAACAAAGUUUAAUUGAGCAAUUUAAAUGAUGAAGGAACGAUUUGGAAUUCCACGAUAUAACACGAUAGCAUCAAUAGCCGAGUUUUAACGUCAAGAUAGGGAGCGAUCAUUUAUAUAACGACCGGAGGCUGAUUUAUCGGCGUUUAUCUUAUCAAUUGAUGCAAGAUUCCUGGAAAUGACAAAACUCGACUGCGCUGAAAAGUAUUUAAGAUCGUAUUCAGAGAAAGUCGAUAGCGCCGAAGAGCCACGCGCCGGCGCUGCUGACCACUGAUAACAGAGCCCAUUCAUUGUUAUCAAUAGUAGCCUAUGAUCUUGACUGCGCUGCGGGAGGACGUGGAGGAUUCCCAGAAGUGAUAACAACUUGCGCAAUAAACCAGGCUCAAGUUCAAGGCUCUCCCGACCUGUCACCUUGUGAUUUUUUCUAUGGGGUUUUUUGAAAUCCCGUGUUUAUGUGAACCGUCCAGGAACCCUACAAGAUUUGAAGACCAACAUCCGAGAAGAAAUUGUCAACAUAACACCUGCUACGCUAACAACAGUCAUGACAAACGCCAGAAAUCGGCUUACGCAAUGUAUGGAGAAUGGGAGACGUCACCUAACAGAUUUGAUCUUCAAAACAAUCUAAAUAAAAACUUUAGACAUGUACCUACAUUAUAAAAAAUAAAUAAAUAUUUUCUGAUGCAUA